ensembl:lincRNA
GAAAAUCGCAAUGAAAAUUUGAAGUUCCCUUGGCUUUACUUUGUGAGAAUUUCAAGCCUCGAACAUUUCAGGCACAGCUGGUUCCUGCUGAUUACUCCUUCCACUGUCAGAGGUGCCAGUGAGGUGUGUGCAUACAUCUGUGGAGCCGUUCUCCUGGAGACAAGCACACGGGACACAAGGGAAGAGACAGUCCGUACUGUGACUCUUUGGCUACUUGUCAGUGAUGGUAUGCAGUCCAAGUCCACACAGUGUCGAUACCGCCCCAGGAUCUGCUGGGUCUCCUGAUCCAGGUGAGAACAUAGGUUAUAUCAGAGGUUUGAUAUAAGGCACUCUUGUUGUUUAGCUCUAUGCAAAAUGUAUAGACCAACCAAAUGGACUCUUAAAUCUAAAUGAGAGGUGAGCUGGCUGAAUGCAUUAGCUUUCCAAGGCUGUAUUAGCAGAUUACCAUAAACCUAAUGGCUCAAAGAACCA